rnacentral:rRNA from 1 species
AGAGUUUGAUCAUGGCUCAGUCUAAACGCUGGCGGCAUGGCUAAAGCAUGCAAGUCGAGGGAUACCUUCGGGUAGACCGGCGGAAGGGCGAGUAAUGGUACCGAACGUGCCCCAGGGUGGGGGAUAGCCGCGGGAAACUGCGGGUAAUACUCCAUGUGCUCUACGGAGGAAAGCUCAGGCGCCCCGGGAGCGGCGGUACUCCUAUCAGGUAGUUGGCGGGGUAAUGGCCCACCAAGCCGAAGACGGGUAGCGGGUGUGAGAGCACGGCCCGCCGCAUCGGGACUGAGACACUGCCCGGACUCCUACGGGAGGCUGCAGCAACGAAUCUUCCGCAAUGCACGAAAGUGUGACGGAGCAAUGCCGCGUGCGGGAUGAAGCGGCUUCGCCGUGUAAACCGCUGUCAGGACCCAGAAAGAACUGAUCGGGUCCAGAGGAAAGGCCGGCUAAUCUCGUGCCAGCAGCCGCGGUAAUACGAAAGGCCCGAGCGUUAGACGGAAUCACUGGGCUUAAAGGGUGCGUAGGCGGAUAUGCAAGCGUGUUGUGAAAGCCCUCGGCUCAACCGAGGAAUCGCGGUGCGAACUGCAUAUCUUGAGGAAGGUAGGGGCCGGCGGAACGUUCGGUGGAGCGGUGAAAUGCGUAGAUAUCGGACGGAACGCCUAUGGUGAAGACAGCCGGCUGGGCCUUGCCUGACGCUGAGGCACGAAAGCGUGGGGAGCAAACAGGAUUAGAUACCCUGGUAGUCCACGCCGUAAACGAUGCGCACUGGAUCGGUGCGGGUCUGACCCCGUGCUGGUCGGAGAGAAAUUGGUAAGUGCGCCGCCUGGGAAGUACGGUCGCAGGGCUAAAAUCAAAGGAAUUGACGGGGGCUCACACAAGCGGUGGAGCAUGUUGCUUAAUUCGAAGCAACGCGAAGAACCUUACCUGGGCUUGACAUGCACGGAUUAGUCUUUGGAAACAGGGAUGACGCCUUCGGGUGGAACGUGCACAGGUGCUGCAUGGCUGUCGUCAGCUCGUGCUGUGAAGUGUCGGGUUAAGUCCCUUAACGAGCGCAACCCUUGUCGCUAGUUGCCAGCGAGUCAUGUCGGGGACUCUAGCGAGACUGCCGGUGUCAAACCGGAGGAAGGUGGGGAUGACGUCAAGUCCUCAUGGCCCUUACGCCCAGGGUGGCAAACGUGCUACAAUGGCACGGACAGAGCGAUGCGAGGCCGCGAGGCGGAGCAAAUCGCAAAAACUGUGCCCCAGUUCGGAUUGUAGUCUGCAACUCGACUACAUGAAGCCGGAAUCGCUAGUAAUCGCGGAUCAGCCAUGCCGCGGUGAAUACGUUCCUGAGCCUUGUACACACCGCCCGUCACGUCAUGGAAGCUGGGAGUGCCCGAAGUCGCCAUAUCUCAAUGGUGCCCACGGCAAGCUCGGUGACUGGGACGAAGUCGUAACAAGGUAACC